rnacentral:rRNA from 3 species
CAACUUUUAACAACGGAUCUCUUGGCUCUCGCAUCGAUGAAGAACGCAGCGAAAUGCGAUAAGUAAUGUGAAUUGCAGAAUUCAGUGAAUCAUCGAAUCUUUGAACGCACCUUGCACUCCUUGGUAUUCCGAGGAGUACGCCUGUUCGAGUGUUAUGA